rnacentral:misc_RNA from 1 species
GGAAGGAUCAUUAACACGUAUCCACGUAUCAACCAACUGCGCACUGUUCUCACCUCUCCCGCCGGUUACAUGAAUUGGAAUCGCGCGUGCAUUUAUGAUCGGAGUCGCCUCGGCGACUCAAUGCACGCACGACCACUGCUCGCUUAGGCGAGCGACAAUUGUAGUGACAGUCGGGCACACCUUCUGCUAUCCGCUUGUUCAUCAUCUCAAGCGAUAGUGGGAAUCUACACACCUAUUUCACCCCCUUUUUGCUAGUUGACUUUUAUAUGUUGUCUCAGUGCCGUACGCUAGUACGAUUCUGGAACACACGUUUAUUAUUUGAACGUUAAAAUUACAACUCUUAGCAAUGGAUAUCUUGGUUCUCGCAACGAUGAAGAACGCAGCGAAAUGCGAUACGUAAUGCGAAUUGCAGAAUUCAGUGAAUCAUCAAAUCUUUGAACGCAAAUUGCGCUCUUGGGUAGCCCUAGGAGCACGCCUCUCUCAGUAUCGGUUCAACCCCUCUCAGCAGCGUGGCCGCAUUCGUGCGGUCGCGUGUUGGCUGGACAAUGAGAGUCUGACUGUCACCAGUGAGUCUCUUGAAAUGCAUCGAGUGACGACCAUUCUAGCGCGAGUGACCUCGAGUCACAAGCCGGUUGAGACUGGCCGCAUCGGAGUGACGUGAAUACUGACCUUCAUGGUCUACCAUUUACGUGUAACUCGGAUCGGCUAUCAAAGUCGCAAUUCGGUGUGCUUGCGUGUGCGUCAUGUACAGCGGCCCUACAGGCUGCAAUCGGCUGUGAUUCGUCAUAGUCUGAAUUUUGAUCUGAGAUGAAGCGAGACAACCCCUGAAUUUAAGCAUAUUAAUAAGGGGAGGAAAAGAAACUAACAAGGAUUCCCCCAGUAACGGCGAGUGAAGCGGGAAGAGCUCAAUUUGAAAAUCGACUACCUAAGCGGGUCGUCGAGUUGUAGCCUAUAGACGUACUAUCAGCUGAAACCUGGGUAUAAGUUCUUUGGAAUGAGGCAUCAUAGAGGGUGAGAAUCCCGUAUAUGACCCAAAGCUUUCAGCGUACGAUGUGCGUUCAUCGAGUCGAGUUGUUUGGGAUUGCAGCUCUAAAUGGGUGGUAAGUUUUCAUCUAAAGCUAAAUAAUGGCGAGAGACCGAUAGCGAACAAGUACCGUGAGGGAAAGAUGAAAAGAACUUUGAAAAGAGAGUUAAAAGUACUUGAAAUUGCUAAGAGGGAAGCGCUGACAACCAGUGCUUCACGCCGUUCAUCGCUAUCAGCCCCACUGGAUAGCGCGAGUAGUUGGUAACUCUGCUUGCGACAUCGAAAGGGAGGUUGGUGGUUUAGGACGGCGGGUUAGUCAAGAUCCAUUCGAUCUGAGGGAGAAGGUAGUGAGAAAGGUAGGACACUCCGGUGUCUGUUAAGUCUCAUUACUCUACCUCGGGUUGGAUGGAGGAAGGAAUAGUGCGCUGCUUGCGGCUUAGUCCCGCGCUCCUACGGCUGAAGUUACUCCGAUAGCAAUGCUAUCUCUGUGAUGCAAGGUCGUACUGGGUGUGGUGACUCUAUGUGCUAUCACGAUCUUGUACGAAAUGGUUGUCAUCGACCCGUCUUGAAACACGGACCAAGGAGUCUAACAUCUAUGCGAGUAUUUGAGUGAAAAACUCUGAUGCGCAAUGAAAGUAAAGGCAGCUUCGGCUGCUGAGGUAGGAAUCCGGUCACACGGAGGCACUAUCGACCGAUCAUCACUUGUGAAGAUUUGAGUAAGAGCAUAUCUGUUGGGACCCGAAAGAUGGUGAUCUAUGCCUGAACAGGGUGAAGCCAGGGGAAACUCUGGUGGAGGCUCGUAGCGAUACUGACGUGCAAAUCGUUCGUCUGAUUUGGGUAUAGGGGCGAAAGACUAAUCGAACCAUCUAGUAGCUGGUUCCCUC